rnacentral:misc_RNA from 1 species
GAUGAAGAACGUAGCGAAAUGCGAUAAGUAAUGCGAAUUGCAGAAUUCAGUGAGUCAUCGAAUCUUUGAACGCACAUUGCGCCCCUUGGUAUUCCGAGGGGCAUGCCUGUUCGAGCGUCAUUACACCACUCAAGCUAUGCUUGGUAUUGGGCGUCGUCCUUAGUUGGGCGCGCCUUAAAGACCUCGGCGAGGCCACUCCGGCUUUAGGCGUAGUAGAAUUUAUUCGAACGUCUGUCAAAGGAGAGGAACUCUGCCGACUGAAACCUUUAUUUUUCUAGGUUGACCUCGGAUCAGGUAGGGAUACCCGCUGAACUUAAGCAUAUCAAUAAGCGGAGGA